AGUCAUAUGCUUGUCUCAAAGACUAAGCCAUGCAUGUCUAAGCAUAAAUGAAUUCAUAGUGAAGCCGCGAAUAGCUCAUUACAACAGCCAUCGUUUAAUGGAUAUAGUUUUACAUGGAUAACUGUGGUAAUUCUACAGCUAAUACACGCAUCAAAUGUUCUCCUAACCGGAGAACAGCGUUUGUUACUUCAAACCAAUCGGACUCCGGUCUGAAAUCAAGUGAUAUUGAACAAUUUAGCUGAUCGCACGGUCUGAGAACCGGCGACAUAUCCUUCAAAUGUCUGCCUUAUCAACUUUCGAUGGUAGAUUAUGCGCCUACCAUGGUUGUAACGGGUAACGGAGAAUCAGGGUUUGAUUCCGGAGAGGGAGCCUGAGAAACGGCUACCACAUCCAAGGAAGGCAGCAGGCACGCAAAUUACCCACUCCCGGCACGGGGAGGUAGUGACGAAAAAUAACAAGCUGGUCUCAAUGAGUUCCGGCAUUGUAAUGGGAACAAUUUAAAUCAUUUAUCGAGGAUCUAUUGGAGGGCAAGUCUGGUGCCAGCAGCCGCGGUAAUUCCAGCUCCAAUAGCGUAUAUUAAAGUUGUUGAGGUUAAAAAGCUCGUAGUUGGAUCUAGGAUUAGGGCUACGGUCGUUCAGCUUGGACGUACUGUAUGUCCGACUCCUUUUCUCCAGUAUUCGAUUGUUGCUCUUAAAUGAGUGACUCUAGUUGCUGGAACCUUUACCUUGAAAAAUUGAAGUGCUCAAAGCAGGUUUCUGCCUGAACAUUGCUGCAUGGGAUAAAUAGAAAUAAGGAUUUCC
rnacentral:rRNA from 1 species